rnacentral:rRNA from 1 species
GACGUAGGGGGCCAGCGUUGUUCGGAAUUACUGGGUGUAAAGGGUUCGUAGGCGGUGUGGCAAGUCGGGAGUGAAAUCUCUGGGCUCAACUCAGAGACUGCUUCCGAAACUGCUGUGCUGGAGUGUGGGAGAGGCGCGUGGAAUGCAGGUGUAGCGGUGAAAUGCGUAGAUAUCUGCAGGAACACCGUGGCGAAAGCGCGCGCUGGACCACUACUGACGCUGAGGAACGAAAGCUAGGGAGCAAACAGG